AGAGUUUGAUCAUGGCUCAGAAUCAACGCUGGCGGCGUGCCUAACACAUGCAAGUCGAACGCGAAAGCCCCGCAAGGGGUAAGUAGAGUGGCAAACGGGUGAGUAACACGUGGGUGACCUGCCUUCGAGUGGGGGAUAACGUCCCGAAAGGGGCGCUAAUACCGCAUGACAUCCUGCGUUUGGAAACGCGGUGAUUAAAGCCGGGGAUCGCAAGACCUGGCGCUUGAAGAGGGGCCCGCGGCCGAUUAGCUAGUUGGUGGGGUAACGGCUCACCAAGGCAACGAUCGGUAUCCGGCCUGAGAGGGCGGACGGACACACUGGGACUGAGACACGGCCCAGACUCCUACGGGAGGCAGCAGGGGGGAAUUGGUCGCAAUGGGCGCAAGCCUGACGACGUAUCGCCGCGUGGAGGACUAAUAUCUUCGGGUCGUAAACUCCUUUCUAU
rnacentral:rRNA from 1 species